rnacentral:rRNA from 1 species
UACGUAGGCAGCAAGCGUUGUUCGGAAUUACUGGGCGUAAAGAGUGUGUAGGCGGUGCUCUAAGUCUGUUGUGAAAUCUCCCGGCUUAACUGUGAGGGUGCGCCGGAAACUGGAGUGCUCGAGCGUGGGAGAGGAAAGCGGAAUUCCUGGUGUAGCGGUGAAAUGCGUAGAUAUCAGGAGGAACACCUGCGGUGUAGACGGCUUUCUGGACCAUUGCUGACGCUGAGACACGAGAGCGUGGGUAGCAAACAGG